rnacentral:rRNA from 1 species
GACAGAGGGUGCAAACGUUGUUCGGAAUUACUGGGCGUAAAGCGCGUGUAGGCGGCCCUGCAAGUCGGGUGUGAAAUCCCACGGCUCAACCGUGGAAGUGCACUCGAAACUGCAGGGCUAGAGUCCUGGAGAGGAAGGUGGAAUGCUUGGUGUAGAGGUGAAAUGUGCAGAUAUCAGGAGGAACACCGGUGGCGAAGGCGGGUCUCUGGGCCGAUAUUGACGCUGAGGAGCGAAAGCGUGGGGAGCAAACAGG